AAACUGUUUGUUUGUGUGUCUACCUGAUGAAUUUGACGGCUAGUCCCAGAUCAGCGAUGCAGCAGGUGCCGUCGCUUUUCACCAGGAUGUUUUUGCUCUUCAGGUCUCUGUGUGCGAUGGCCGGUUUUCCCUGCGUGCCGGAGAUUUCAGUGUGUAGGUGACAGAGACCCGAGACGGCGGACUGUGCGAGUUGCAGCAGUGAUUUGGUGUCCAGCGAGGUGGAUUUGAGGACAUGGUGAUGAACCCCAGAACACCGUCUCUGUAUCAGAUCUGAUCCCAGGACAGUGUCUGGCCUCUUCUGUAGUGAAGAAAACCUUCACAGCCACCUGCUCUCCUCUCCAGCGGCUCAUCCACACCUCACCGUAUCGACCCUUCCCGAUCUGAGACACCAUCUGGAUCUGUCUCGCCACCGUCCGCUGCACCUGC